rnacentral:rRNA from 1 species
UACGAAGGGGGCUAGCGUUGCUCGGAAUCACUGGGCGUAAAGCGCACGUAGGCGGCUUGUUAAGUCAGGGGUGAAAUCCUGGAGCUCAACUCCAGAACUGCCUUUGAUACUGGCGAGCUUGAGUUCGGGAGAGGUGAGUGGAACUGCGAGUGUAGAGGUGAAAUUCGUAGAUAUUCGCAAGAACACCAGUGGCGAAGGCGGCUCACUGGCCCGAUAUUGACGCUGAGGUGCGAAAGCGUGGGGAGCAAACAGG